GGAGACCCAAAUCCUCUGGGCCUGUCCCUAAUUCAGCCGGGCCUGUCUAUCACUUGGCCAAGAGGCUGUCCUCUUCUGAGUCAUCUGGAGGAGACAUGCUAGGGAGAGGGUACUGGAUAAAGCUGAGCAUGCUGUCCCAGGCAUGGGGCCUUCUCACCGGUUCUCUGAAGCCACCCCCUCCUUUAUGCCUUGAGGCUGCUUGCUGAUGCCAGGAGUAAAAGAAAUGACUCCUGCCCCUCUGUCUGUGUCUCUCUGUCUCUCUGUCUGUGUCCACCCUCCCCCCCCACCCCCCAAAUCUGUCUUCUCCUGGCAGCUGCAGAGAUUUAUAAUUUACCUGCCUUGUUGUUUCUCUCUUACACUCUAAUAAAACUCAAGCUUCCGUUUGA
rnacentral:lncRNA from 1 species